rnacentral:rRNA from 1 species
GGAAGGUGAUGUGGAUAAUAACCGCAGCAAUUGACGUUACCCGCAGAAGAAGCACCGGCUAACUCCGUGCCAGCAGCCGCGGUAAUACGGAGGGUGCAAGCGUUAAUCGGAAUUACUGGGCGUAAAGCGCACGCAGGCGGUCUGUCAAGUCGGAUGUGAAAUCCCCGGGCUCAACCUGGGAACUGCAUUCGAAACUGGCAGGCUUGAGUCUUGUAGAGGGGGGUAGAAUUCCAGGUGUAGCGGUGAAAUGCGUAGAGAUCUGGAGGAAUACCGGUGGCGAAGGCGGCCCCCUG